rnacentral:lncRNA from 1 species
AGUAAUCAGUGCAAGCGGAGCUCUUUCCCUGAAUGAAUCCAAGUAACCCCAGUGGUUGCCUUCUGAAAUGAGCGGCAGCCACACAUCUGCACACAGGCUGUCCAGCGUGUAAACUCUGGUUCUAACGUACCAUGUCCAGCCGAGAGAGUCCUGCUGUGGAGUUUUCUACAACAACAGUCAGUUCAGUAGCUGUGCAGGCUGGGGACUCCAAAAUCGUUAUAGCUGUCAUAAAGUGUGGCAAAUGGGUACAACUUCAGUUGGCUGAAUCACAGCCCAAUCUUCUAGAAAUUGGAAGCAAUCAAGAUGAAACCAAAAAACUUCUUCACGAUCAUGAACUUCUUUUGGCCAAACUCAAGGCUUUGGAAGAUCGAGUAUGGGAACUCCUGCAAGAAGCAGACAGGACUGCUGAAGAGAACAAGGAUCAGAGUCAGGUCUAUGAUGCCAUGGCCGAGACGCUGGGUGAAGCAUGGGCAGCCCUGGUAUCCAUGCUUGAGAGGAGGAGGGAACUUCUCAGAUUGACCUCUGAAUUUUUUGAAAAUGCCUUGGAGUUUGCCAUUAAAAUAGACCAAGCAGAAGAUUUCCUCCAGAACACUCAGGAGUUUGAGAGUGCCGAGGCCUUGAAAUCACUCCUUCAACUUCAUGAACAUCAUACCAAAGAACUCUUAGAACGAUCUCUAGCCCUUUUAAACAAAAGUCAAGAACUCACUGACUUCAUAGAAAAAAUCAAGAGUGAUGGACCCAAUGUAAAUGCUGAGAUGAUUCAGGGAGCUCAAAACAGCUGCCUGAAGAUUGACAGUCUUCUUGAACUUCUCCAAGACAGGAGGCGGCAACUAGACAAGUACCUGAAGCAACAGCAGCAGGAACUGAGUCAGGUUCUGCAGAUGUGUCAGUGGGACCAACAGGAAAGUCAGGUCACUUGUUGGUUUCAGAAAACUAUAAGAGAUUUAGAGGAACAAGGUCUAGGUACAUCUCUUUCAGACAAUGAGGAGCUUAUUCGUAAGCACGAGGAACUGAUAAUAAAAGCAAAGGAAUGGAAUGCUGUGAUCGAGACGCUGAAGAGUGAGGCGCUGGAGCUUCUCCUUUCCAAGGAGCAUGUGCAGAGCGAACACCUGCAGCUCUCUAACCAGAAACUGAAUCAGCUUCAAGAGGAGUUUGGUCAUCUUAUGGAGGAAAGGAAAAGCUGGUUAAGAAAGGCAAAUGAGUUUUUUAACAGCGCAAACAAGGCAUUUGAUGCACUUGGAAGAGUUGAAGCUUACCUUAAGCUCCUUAAAUCAGAGGGUUUAAGUCUGCCUGUCUUGGCGGCGAGGCAUGAGGAAUUACACAGAGAAAUUAAAGACUGCACAGCUGAUGCUUUGCAGAAAGGACAAGCCUUGAUCAGCCAACUAGCUUCCUGCAGCUCUCGGCUGACCGGUGUCCGUGAGAUUAUGGGCUGCCUUGGAAGACGGGUAGAACAUUUGACUGAACAGUGUUCGGCGCACAGGGAAUUUGCUCUUAAGAGACAGCAAUUCACAGCCUCGGUGGAGGGCCGCCUAAGAGAGGUUGAAAUGUCCAUUCAGAAAAUCAGCACAAUACUUUCCAAUGCAAUGGAUGUUGGUUCCAGCCUUUCUGAAUCAGAGAAGAUUUUGAGUAAAUAUCUGGAACUAGAUAAACAAGCUAAGGAGACAUCACAUGAAUUAGAAGCAGCUGCAAAACUCUUGACAGAGAAACAUGAUUUUGAACUUGAUGAACUGGCAUCGCUUUCUUCUAAGGCUAAAUGGCUAGAGGAAGAAUUAAACAUAUUUGGCCAAAGCAUCAACUCCAGGUCACAAGUCCUGCAAACUUAUGUGGCAUUUCUAAAGUCAUCAGAGGAGGUAGAGAAGCAAUGUCAGGGCCUAAAGGAGUUUUACCAAACUGAUAUCCUACGAAAGGAGGAGGGCGGUGCUGAAGCCAAGCAUUGGUCUGACUCAGUGGAGAAGCAGUGGCAGCUAUUUUUAAAGAGGAGUUUUUUAACGCAUGACCUUGGGCUCGAGUUCCUUAAUUUAAUAAAUAUGGUAAGAACAACAUUAAAUGAGUCACACCUUCUUCAAGGAUACUUGUCAAAGUCAAGAUCA